AUUGAACGCUGGCGGCAUGCCUUACACAUGCAAGUCGAACGGCAGCACGGGAGCAAUCCUGGUGGCGAGUGGCGAACGGGUGAGUAAUAUAUCGGAACGUGCCCAGUAGUGGGGGAUAACUGCUCGAAAGAGCAGCUAAUACCGCAUACGACCUGAGGGUGAAAGGGGGGGAUCGCAAGACCUCUCGCUAUUGGAGCGGCCGAUAUCAGAUUAGCUAGUUGGUGGGGUAAAGGCCUACCAAGGCAACGAUCUGUAGUUGGUCUGAGAGGACGAACAGCCAAAAGGGGACUGAGACACGGCCCAGCCUCCUACGGGAGGCAGCAGUGGGGAAUUUUGGACAAUGGGCGCAAGCCUGAUCCAGCAAUGCCGCGUACAGGAAGAAGGCCUUCGGGUUGUAAACUGCUUUUGUCAGGGAAGAAAUCCUCUAGGUUAAUACCCUUGGGGGGAUGACGGUACCUGAAGAAUAAGCACCGGCUAACUACGUGCCAGCAGCCGCCGUAAAAC
rnacentral:rRNA from 1 species